CCAAGGUCACAUGGCUGCCCCAGGACACAUGGCUGCCCCAGGUCACAUGACUGCCCAGGUCACACGGCUGCCCCAGGUCAUGUGGCUGCCCAGGUCACACGGCUGCCCCAGGUCACACGACUGCCCAAGGUCACAUGGCUGCCCCAGGUCACACGGCUGCCCCAGGUCACGCAACCAGUAGAUGCAAAACAGGGUUUGAGCCUGGGCUGCCACUGGUGUGU